GUCGAGCGGGUAGCCAGGGGAGCUUGCUCCCUGGGUGACGAGCGGCGGACGGGUGAGUAAUGUCUGGGAAACUGCCUGAUGGAGGGGGAUAACUACUGGAAACGGUAGCUAAUACCGCAUAACGUCGCAAGACCAAAGAGGGGGACCUUCGGGCCUCUUGCCAUCAGAUGUGCCCAGAUGGGAUUAGCUAGUAGGUGGGGUAAUGGCUCACCUAGGCGACGAUCCCUAGCUGGUCUGAGAGGAUGACCAGCCACACUGGAACUGAGACACGGUCCAGACUCCUACGGGAGGCAGCAGUGGGGAAUAUUGCACAAUGGGCGCAAGCCUGAUGCAGCCAUGCCGCGUGUGUGAAGAAGGCCUUCGGGUUGUAAAGCACUUUCAGCGAGGAGGAAGGUGGUGAACUUAAUACGCUCAUCAAUUGACGUUACUCGCAGAAGAAGCACCGGCUAACUCCGUGCCAGCAGC
rnacentral:rRNA from 1 species